rnacentral:lncRNA from 1 species
GCACGUGCGGCGGAGGCCUGGAGUGCCCGGGCCCCGCGCCGUUAGGGUUGCCUCCCGUGGGACAGUGCGGGCUGCGGGCGGGCGUCUGGGCCUGUGUGGAGGCGGGCCGCUGGCCACAUGGUUGCCAGAUUCCGGAGCGCUGCUUCAGGCUGGCUGCGCGGUGGCUCCGCACAUCCCAGCACGGCACGGCCUUGAGUGACACGGUUGCCUGCGGUCGGGCUGGCUCCGGAAUUUUGGGGGCCCAGCUCUUGCUAACGCCCUAGGUCUUUGCGGUUAAGCACCAAGGGCGUACCUAACUCUAGGCAUAGAGGGAGGUUGCUUCGGGUGCUGACUGGUGGAACUCGUACGGUCCACGAACACAGGGUAGAAAAAAGGGCGUGGUGGUGUCGAUUUGCUCAAAAGUAACAGGACUAGCUCUACUUACUGAUUUGAAUAAGGUGAUCUGGGCAGCUUUCUUUGGAAAGGGGCGUUGAAGGGUACGGUCGCCCCUUUUCUAAUACAUGAGCACUCUCUCCGGGCAUCAUGGUUUUCUAGAGUGAACGGCUACCCUGCAGCAAAAAGAACUUGGUGAAGCUAUAAUGUUGGGAUGCUACUCCCAAGGAUGCUUCUGAAUUGGCCCUGUCACUCGGGGAUGGAUAACUGGGUCUUAUCUCAGGCGGAUUCUCAUGGAUGAAGCAAAGGAUGGAUGUGACAGGACUACCGAGUGCCCCCUAAGCCAAUCCCGUGGGGCAACAGAGUCAAGAGGAAGAAGUCAAAGGGACAAGGAGUCCCCUUCCCAGGCUCUGUGAUGGCCAGUACAUCAUGAACCUUCUCUCGGACUGUGGGAGGAGAACUCAGCAAACAGUUGGAGAGUUGGCAGAGGGAGCCAUUUAGACUUGGUUGCCUGGGAUUUGCUCUGCAUGGCUUUCUGCCCUCUCAGGAGAAGGCUGCUGCAGGGUCGUCCUCCGGGCUUAUCUUUUGGAUAGGUGAGGCUCCGUGGCAUAGUACAGAUGAGGCAAAAGUGCUUGAGAGGGCUUGAUAGCAAGAGUGACACUUGGGGGAUGCAGGUAGGAGAUGCUGGCAUUAAACAUUUCUUCUGAGCCAGGGGUCUAAGAUGCUGUGUGCCUAUUGAAUGUUGGAGUCAUUGAAACAUGUGAAAUCCGGGUGCUGGAACGUGCUUUGGUCUCCAGUUCCACACAUCACUUGACUCAGCAGACUUGGGUGGUUCUACCAAUCAGAGUUUUCAUUCUCCUUCCUGUGUCUAAGAUGACACACAACCAAUGCCCCCAAGGUAUGGUCCAGAUAUUAUCAGGUGUAAAGGAAGAGCUGAGAAAGCAAGUCGUCUAGCAGAGUCCCAAGACCUGUGUGUCAGGUCAAGGUACCGUCUGCUGGAACAGAAAUAGAGCCAACAAACAAUAGCAUUUGGGGGUAAGGAGAUUGGGGCUGGGUGGGUUUAGACUGGAGUGACAGCAUUAGCCUCUGGGUCUCAAAGUGGGCAGACAGCUCAGGCCAGUGUUUCUGAGUAGGACUGGGAUAUCCCAGAGGCAGAGAAGCAGGGUGGGAGCUUGGAGAUGAGAAUCUACUAACCCAUGGGAAAAAAAGACCAAGACACCACUCCUGUGCCAACAUAAGCUGCAGUGGGAGAGUCACACUGCGUGGCUGUUGUGACUGAAAAGCUCGUGAGUCCUCACAUUCCAAGUGCUACCAGCUGCCCCCUUUGAAUACCAGACACAGAAAAAGCCCCCAUGGGCAGCAUCUGUUCACAGACUCAGGCCAGGUGAGCCCAGAGGAUGUGGCUAUAAGCGUGAAGGGAUACAAGUUGAACUUUUCUGACAGACCUGUUCCCUACCCACCUUGCACAUUUCUAAUCCUGUGGAGGACAGACAGUACUGGGAGCUCAUCACUGUCAAGACUGAGGGGGUGACAUGCUACCUCCGAAUGUCCAGAGGACAGAAAGGGUCCAGUUCCCAAGCCAGAAGUACCCUUGGCAGAGGCUGCUGCCUGGCCCAGAUUGGUAGGAGUUAUGAGAGCCCGGAACACAUGUGCGCUUCUUUACAGAGAAGUGGUAGCUCAGCCCUGAGAGGCUGCAGCUAGCUAGUACAAGCUUCUUGUGAGUGGAGGAAGCUAGGUCUGGGUGCUGGGCUACAUAGCCAUGCCUGGCUCUGUUGUUAUCUCAGGACCUAAGACCCAUCAGGCCUUGUCUGACACUUGAGCUGUCUGCAUGCAGUGCCCCCAGAGCUCAGGCAUGAACUUGAUAGCUGACCAGGUCCUUAGGUCCUAUAUCCUAUAGCCUAUGACUGGGAGCAGGGCAGAGCCUGCUUGUCUGGAAGCUUGCUUUCUCUGGUACUUCAGUCUCUUCAGCAUGUUCCUGCUAUUGCCUAGAUUAAAGCCUCAGGAAGAAGGCGGCCAACCCUGUGUAGGGAUGUGGGGACAGACAAGCUUGCCCUGUGCGGGUUUGAGACACUCACUGCUACUUGUUUCCAGGCUGGUUUUUCCUGGACAGCUUGCGGGCGCGUGUGUGCGUGUGUGUGUGUGUGUGUGUGUGUGUCCUCCAGGGAAGCAAUGGAGUUCAGGUAUGCCAAAGUCUGGGUGCAAACUGGCUAAGUUCUCAGCCUGUUGUGCACCUGUGGGGAAGCAGGCUGGGGAAGGGAGACUUUGUCUCCCUUGGGAGCCUUUGCUGCUUGUACUUACUACAACCAAUGUCUUAGGACGGCACCCCUAUCUGCUUGGUCUCUAUGUCCCCAACACAGAGGUGGUAUCAUUCAGUGUUGGUUCCUGGUGGCAGCAGAGACCCACAGCUUGGAGCUGUGUGGACCUGGAGCACAUGGUCCCAAAGCCCUGUCAGUGAAGGAGAGAGGCUGGGUUUCUUUCACAGCUAAGGGAGCACCUGUAGGUGCUAGCUCACCUUGAUGCAGGUGGGAGCUUAGAAGAGGGUGGGAGCAGGCAGCUUCCAUGGUGGUUUCUGCUUGUCUCUUAGAUAAUAGGAACCUGAGAGCUACAUAUCAAGGGCUAAUGGAAGAGUGCUGCCUCUCAAGUUUGAGGGCUUAGGCAGCCUCCUGGGAUUUGGUGGUGAUAGAUACUACCAUUUUAUCUUGUGUUGCCAUGCCAUCUAGACAAGCAGUUUCUAAAAGGCUGCCCAAGCUGCUGUCUUGGCAUGGGUGGCCUUUCCCACCGCUCUAACCUUGC